UACAGAGGGUGCAAACGUUGCUCGGAAUCAUUGGGCGUAAAGCGCACGUAGGCGGUCUUGUAAGUCAGGAGUGAAAGCCCUCGGCUUAACCGGGGAAGUGCUUUUGAAACUGCAAGACUUGAAUACUGGAGAGGAUCGCGGAAUUCCCGGUGUAGAGGUGAAAUUCGUAGAUAUCGGGAGGAACACCAGUGGCGAAGGCGGCGAUCUGGACCGGUAUUGACGCUGAGGUGCGAAAGCGUGGGGAGCAAACAGG
rnacentral:rRNA from 1 species